GCAGGCCCCCGAGGAGCCCGUUCAUGGAGACGCCCAUCGAACGAGAAAUCCGCCGCAGCUGCGAACGCGAGGAGAGCCUGCGCCGGAGCCGAGGCCUGAGCCCUGGCGGUGCAGGCCGAGAACUCGUCGAGCUGCGCGUGCGGUCUGUGCUCAGCCUGCCCAGCCCCGGCCCCGCGCUCCCGCGCGCCCUGGAGCGCGCGCGGGCGGGCGCGCAGAUGCAGCGAGACAUCGAGCGGGAGGCCCACCGUCAGGCGGCGCUGGCGCGCCCCGCAGCCCCAGAGCUGUGCGCCCGGCCGCCGCCGCCGCCGCCGCUGGGCGAGCUCAAGCGAUUCUUUGAGGCCGCCGGGGGACGCGGCUCCUCGUCGGCGGCUGAAGGCGGCGCGGACCCGCAGGGGCUGCCCGAUCCUGGAGGCCGGCCGCGCUUGGCCGUGCAGGGUCGGUGCCCGGUGCUGGCCCGCGCACCGCCGCGGGUCGCGCCGUCGCUGCUGGAGCAGGAGGUGCGCGAGGUGCGUGAGCGCGAGCGGGAGCUGCAGCGCCAGCGGCUCAGCGUCUAUGGCACCGCCGAGUUCAAGGAGCCCGCGCCGAGCCUCACGGGUUGCUCCCUCCUUCAGAAUGGAGGCUUCGAUGGGAAGCAGGGUAAACGCCUGUGUGUUUAAGGGGCGCGGCUGGCCUCCCUGGUCCUGGCCGCCUCCAGCUGGUGACAGGAGGGGCAACCCCGGCUGAGCACCCCUUCCCCCGCAGCGAGCAGGGGCGACGGAAAGCUGGCGGUGACCUGGCCUCCCCGCAGAAAGGCGUCUGAGAGCGGCUUGGAGCAGGAGGAGCGGAAGCCUUGAGGUUCCAGCAGGCUGGGACCCCCUGCCAGAGGUAAAAUGCAUAUCAGAGGAAACUGGUAGGGGUGCCCAGGAGUGCUCUCGGAAUCCACUGAAGGCCUGGAAGAGGGCCAGCCGUCUGCGCUGGGGAAGAUGAAAUCGACCAGCUCCUCCUUGAACCUGACUGUGAAAUUGACCAGUCUCUUCUAUAAAACUGUUAGUCCCCACUGGGAAACACUACCACUCUCAAACCGCCAGUGAAACUGUUCCGCCCUUCUCCUAACUGCAAACCCAACUGGCCUCUCCCUCUGGCCUUUGCGAUUAGAGGGCCAGGGUCUCCGCCUCGGCUACCCUCACUCCCCAAUAAAGCCCCUUCUUUCUGGGCA